UCUACGUUUAGAUAUGUUUAGAUACACAAACACUUACCAUUGUGUUACUGUUGCCUGCAGUAUUCAGAACAGUAACAUGCUGUAUAAGUUUGUAGCCAUGAGCAAUAGGCGGGACCAUAGAGCCUAGGCGUGUAGUAGGCUAUACCAUCUAGGUAUGUGUAAGUCCAUGUUUUGAUGAUGAAAUCCCCUAACUACACAUUUCUCAGAACCUGUCGCCAUCAAGUGACACGUGACUGUAAUUGCAAAUUAAAAAUUAAAUACAGCUGUGAUAAAUGCUAUACACAAGGAGUCCCAAAACCUAUGGGGGCGUCAGAGUAGAGAAGCCUUUCCUGAGGAAGGAAGUUUCCCCCAAGACCGUGCUGUCCAAUAUCACAGCCACUGGCUACGUGUGGCUCUUGAGCACUUCAAAUGUGACUGGUGCCACGCAGGAAGGAAAUUUUUAAUUGUAUUUAAUCUCAAUUAAUUGAAAUUUAAGUUAAAAAAGUGGAAGCAGAGUAAUAUAGGUAUAUAUUCAGUUAAACACAACUUUAUCAUUUUGGUAGGACUACGUUUCACUUUGUUGAAAAUUUCCAAGACUAAACGAAAAAGUAAUGUAAAAUAUCACAGUGUUUUUUAUAUUGCUUGCAUGUUGAAAUGAUAGGAUUUCAGAUAUUGGGUUAAAUAAAAUGUAUUAGUUAAAAUUAAUUUCACCUGUUUCUUCUUACUUUUUCAGCGUGGAUACUAGAAAAUCUACAACUCCCUUCGUGACUCGCACUGUUUCUUUGGAUGGAGCUGAGCUAAGAGCAGAAAGGCAUGUGGGAGGAGUUGGCAGGUGGAGGAAGCGAGAAGAGCAUGCAGGGCUGGAUCCAUUUCUUAGGAUAGAAACUCACAUUUAUUUAGCUCCUGUUUUAUGCUUAGGACUUUAGACUUCACCUGCAUCAGACUCAGUCACAGAGAGACGUCACCAGCCUGUUGUGACAGAUGAGGAGACUGAGGCUCAGCCUCGACCGAGGUCCGGUGGCUGCUGUGACCGCUUCCUUGAAGUCCACGCUUUGCAGGGGCCCAGCCUGAACUGGCUUUCUUGAUCUCUGAGCACUGCUUUCACCUCAGCUCUGUCAAAUUUCUCCUUCCUGCCUCUCUCUGGCCUCUUAGGCAGAGCCCACGAUUCUGGAAACAUGCAGAAGGGAACCAUGGAUGAAUCAUAUGAAACUUUUAUGAAGAAGCUGUUCUGGGUCAGGCCCUGUUUAAAGAGCAGUCUAAACGAGGCUGGUUCCAAACAUCAGCAUCGCACCCUCCUUCCCUCCGCACAGCCAGGCUGCCCCCAGGUCUCUGCCGAGGGAUCUGGAAGGGGUGGAGGAGAAGCCUUCUUCUGUUCCCCCUCCCUUCCCUGAAUCGGGUCCCAGGCGUGCAUCCUUUGGCGGGCCCUGUGUGCGUGCAGGUGUGUGUGUGUACGUGCUGUGUGUGUUGUAGGGGGUGCCUGGUCUGAUCCAGCUCCACAGCUCCUGCCCCUCGAGCCUAUGUUGCCAUCUCUUGCUUCUGGGACCAUCUUGAAUGGGCUGUAGACAGGAUGCUCUGAGCUCCGCUACCUUCUGCCCUGGGGGGCUCUCCGAGGACCUUGCCCGCUGCCACUCUGCAUAGGGGAAGUUCAGGCUGCUCCCCUGCUGUCUCUUUUCAGUUCCUUUUUCUCCUGCUCAGCGCAGCAAUUCCACUGUCUGCCUCAGAAGACACCUGUGGGAGGAGGAGCCGGCCUCCUCUCCCUGCAGGCAUUCCCGUCUCUAGGAGUUAUCUUCUCGGGAGGCCUUGCUUGGCUGAAGUGCUGAUGGGGUUGCGAAGGGAGAGAUUCCACAGCAGUCUCCCCCAGGCUGACCAGUCCCCCCACAGUUAUCUGAGUGUACAGAGCACAGGGGAGAUGGGAUGGCUGGGGGCACAGGUGGGAUUUUGCUGCUUUUUAUCAGCCUUGAGAACAUACCUGGCCCCAAAGGUUCAUUCAUUAUUACUUAGUACCUACUCUGUGCCCAGCACGGUGCUGGGUGCUGAUUACAGCCAUGAGUGAAAGACAGCAAUCCUCACAGCCAAUCGUUUUUCACGGGGAAACAGAGAAAAACAACUAAGUGUAUAUGGCAGGGCUGGCCAUCGGGAAGCCAAAUAGAGCAGAGUAAGGGGAUAGAGAGGGACCAAGGGGAGAGGCCAGGGCAAUGGCUGCUGUGUUUAACAUUUAUCUUCCCCUAACUGGGAGCCUAAUAGACAAUUCUGGGCCACAGGAGGAGCCCAGGACGAUGUUGUGUGAGCCUAGUAAAGUGGUGAGGCAGGGGCUGGGUUUCUCAGACUGUGCAUUUUCUUUUAUUUGGUCGUAUACAUCCAGGUCCACUUCACCAACGUUUGCUGGACCACAUCCCAUCCACUCUGUUGUUCCAGAAGCCAUCCCGUGUCUGUUCAGCCUGGAGGAGGCCCAACACCUCAGAGGGAGCUCUGUGGCUCGCAGCUCGCAGUGGAACCCAGCCCCUCCCACUCUGGCUCGAGGGGCAUCAGAUAGUCAGCACCCAAGCCAAAGGCAGCAGACGCCUCCCCGGCUGGAGAGCUCAGGCCUGCAGGUUUGGGGUUUGGAAGGAGGCCUAGGCCAUAGCAACCACUUCUCUCACUGUGGCUCAAACCACUGCUCCAGGCCUGGGGGUGGGUGGGUGGCCAGAAAGCAUGUGGCCUGCCCCAGGCUGUCAGGAGACCAGGCAGUGGCUUCCGGGCUCAUGUAGAGCCUCAUCCUGGGGUUGGUACCUAGCAUGCACCACAGACUCUGUGAGACUUCUGCUGUGACUGCCACACCUGGGCAGGCCCUGGGUGCCCUCCUGCCCGCCCUUCUCCUGGGACUUGCAGGUGAGUCUGAGUCUUGACCACAGAGACCCUCAGAGCAGGCAGGAGACCCUCAGGGAUUACCGAUCCAGCCACCUUGUGUGCAGGCAGGAGACCGAGGCCCAGAGCCCAGAGGACCUGGCCGAGCUGUGUACCUGCCUGCCAGGGGGCUGUUCUGCAUCUUUUCUCCAGUGUGGACCUUGUGAGAGAUGGAGAUGAUGGGAGCUUGGGGUCAGGAUGAGAACAAUGUGACACGAUGGCAAGGGGCCAGGGGUUGAAAGAGGAGCCCUCCUCCCACCCAGCCUCCCUGACAUCAGCUCUGGUCUGGGUGGCCACCAGAUCUAGGUCAGAAAUGGUGUGAGGGUGGGAAAGAUGGAGGGAGAGAGGAACUCCUUGAGUGGUGACCUGAAGUCAGGUAGACCCGCUUAACAUCCCUUCUUAUCCACUGACAGGUCACUGUGUGACCUUGUGCAAGUCACUAAACCUCUCUGAGUCUCUGUUUCUUCUUCUGGCAAGUGGGGACAAUAAUACCAGCCUUCCAUGGCUGGGAUGCAGAUGAAAAUGUGCAUACACACCUGAAAGCAUUUUAUAAACCACAGGGUGCUCCGUGCAGGUGGGGUGAUGAUUAUCAGAGGACAGGAGAGCAUGAGGCAGAAGGUACCAGGACUGUGUGCUAAGAGGACAUGCCCCCAUGGCCUCCAGAGCUGCCCUCCAUCACCCGUCACCCUGUUGUCAAUGCUGGUUUAUUUCCCCCACACACACUCAUACACACACGUGUGACCAGAUGCUCCUCGAGGGCAGGGGUCCCGUGUGACACAUCUCUAUCUCUCCAGCACCCAGCUCCCAUACUGGCUCAGAGCAGGUGCCCAGGAGACACAGUGAAGACUUGGAGACAUGCCUGCUGUCAGACCUCUGCAGGCUGCCCUGACGGGGAGGGAAGAGUCUAGUCCUGCAGUCGUCCUGCGACGACUCCAGGAGACAGACCCUAGGUGAGCAGCAGAAGUACCUUGUCACGGUCCCACCUUUGUGAGGAUGGAGGAAGCUGCCUCAGCUGGAGAGAGCUCCCUGUUGCUGGAGUGGCUUCCCAGCACACUCAGAGCAGAGUCAAGAGUGUCACCCUGCCCCACAAGGCUCUUCCCAAUCUGGACCUCUGCCCACGAUGCUGGCGUCCUACAGACCUCGCAGGUUCACAAGUCCACCGCCUCUUCCUGCUCAAGCUGGGCAGCCCUUCCUCUCUCUGAUGAUCACGGCUCAGAGGACAACCCCUGGAAAUUUGGUGCCUUUCAGCUGCACCACUGGCCCCUUCAGCUCCUGGGAUUUCAAUGUCACCUGGAUGAAGGACAGAGAUGAGCAUCCAGACUCAACUCAGCACCUGGUGACUGACAACAAAAUCAAUUACUCCGUCACUUCCCCAGUAGGGUGUGGGGGACACUAGCCCGACACGAUGUCUCACCUGCGAAGUCACCCACAGGGGACUGGCAGAGCCCCUCCCAAGUGCUCCAAGUUCUUCCCACCCUGAAGAUCACCAGGCCCGCUGGGACACAUGUCCAGGUGCAUCAGAGAGUGAAUCUCACGGGCCACAUGAGCCACUCCUGUCCCCCCUCCCUGCACCUCACCUGGAUGGAGAACAGGCACAAGGUCCAGACCGUGGAGUGUCCCCAGGUCACGAGAAACCCAGAGUAUGCAUCUCACCUGGAUGAAGAAUGGCCAUAUGUUCCAGGGAGCUGAGCAGCUCAUGUCCAAGCAGAGUGGUGAUGGACCUGCACGCUGGAAAGCUUGCAGUUGGUGGAUGGGUCGGUGCAGGGGUCUGAGCGGGUGCUCAUCUGUAAGGUGCAGCAUGAGGCACAGACUCCCAUCCGGGCCAAUCUCCCUGUGCCGUCCUACAUCACAUACGAGCCCAUAAGGAGCCCAG